AUACGUAGGUGCCAAGCGUUAUCCGGAUUUACUGGGCGUAAAGGGCGUGUAGGCGGUCUUGCAAGUCAGAAGUGAAAUUCCUGAGCUCAACUCGGGCGCUGCUUCUGAAACUGCAGGACUUGAGUGCUGGAGGGGAUAGCGGAAUUCCUAGUGGAGCGGUAAAAUGCGCAGAUAUUAGGAAGAACACCGGUGGCGAAGGCGGCUAUCUGGACAGUAACUGACGCUGAGGCGCGAAAGCGUGGGGAGCAAACAGGAUUAGAUACCCUGGUAGUCCACGCAGUAAACGAUGAAUGCUAGGUGUUGCGGGUAUCGACCCCUGCAGUGCCGGAGUCAACACAAUAAGCAUUCCGCCUGGGGAGUACGGCCGCAAGGUUGAAACUUAAAGGAAUUGACGGGG
rnacentral:rRNA from 1 species